rnacentral:rRNA from 1 species
GACAGAGGCCUCGAGCGUUAGGCGGAAUCACUGGGCUUAAAGCGUGUGUAGGCGGAUCGUUAAGUGCCUUGUGAAAUCCCACGGCUUAACUGUGGAACGGCUGGGCAUACUGGCGGUCUUGAGCCAUCUAGGGGCGACUGGAACAAACGGUGGAGCGGUGAAAUGCGUAGAGUAAUCGUUUGGAACGCCAAUGGUGAAACAGGUCGCUGGGG